UUUAAUGUCUACUUUUCAGUAGAUGGAGACUGUAAUGUAUGCAUUGAAAGCAACCCAACAGAAAUUCCUCAGCGUUCUGUCUGCUCAGUUUCUACAACAAAUUCUAAUGGUUCAGUACAUGGCAGUGAGAAAUCAGACCUCUCUGAACCUGUUACAGUGAUGCAAGAUGAUGUUCCCGACAAUCCUCUCAUCCAAGUUGGUACAUGGCAGUGAGAAAUCAGACCUCUCCGAACCUGUUACAGUGAUGCAAGAUGAUGUUUCCGACAAUCCUCUCAUCCAAGUUUGUGAAUCGUUGUGCCCUAUGCACAGUAGAGACAGUGGGUGCAGGUGCCCAAAUCCUGGUUGUGCCAAGUUUCGGAGCCAAUUUGUU
rnacentral:lncRNA from 1 species